UUGAUCAUGGCUCAGGACGAACGCUGGCGGCGUGCUUAACACAUGCAAGUCGAGCGAUGAAGCUACUUCGGUAGUGAAUUAGCGGCGAACGGGUGAGGAACACGUGAAGAAUCUGCCCCUCAUUUUGGGAUAACUUCGGGAAACCGAGGCUAAUACCGAAUAUUGAAACAUAAGUGGCAUCACUGAGUUUUGAAAGUUUUUCGAUGAGGGAUGACUUCGCGGCCUAUCAGCUAGUUGGUGAGGUAACGGCUCACCAAGGCAACGACGGGUAGCCGGCCUGAGAGGGCGAACGGCCACACUGGGACUGAGACACGGCCCAGACUCCUACGGGAGGCAGCAGUAGGGAAUAUUGCGCAAUGGAGGAAACUCUGACGCAGCGACGCCGCGUGCGGGAUGAAGGCCUUCGGGUUGUAAACCGCUUUCAGUAGGGAAGAAGCGAAAGUGACGGUACCUGCAGAAGAAGCACCGGCUAACUAUGUGCCAGCAGCCGCGGUAAUACAUAGGGUGCAAGCGUUGUCCGGAAUUAUUGGGCGUAAAGAGCUCGUAGGUGGUUCGUCACGUCGGAUGUGAAACUCUGGGGCUUAACUCCAGACCUGCAUUCGAUACGGGCGAGCUUGAGUAUGGUAGGGGAGUCUGGAAUUCCUGGUGUAGCGGUGGAAUGCGCAGAUAUCAGGAGGAACACCAAUGGCGAAGGCAGGACUCUGGGCCAUUACUGACACUGAGGAGCGAAAGCGUGGGGAGCGAACAGGAUUAGAUACCCUGGUAGUCCACGCCGUAAACGGUGGGCACUAGUUGUGGGGACCUUCCACGGUCUCUGCGACGCAGCUAACGCAUUAAGUGCCCCGCCUGGGGAGUACGAUCGCAAGAUUAAAACUCAAAUGAAUUGACGG
rnacentral:rRNA from 1 species